GGCACAGAGCGUACGUUUGACCGGCUCCAGGAUCAAGAUUGAGUAUGACCUGCGACAUCGUGGAGCGGCUACCUCACAGCAGCAUAACAGCGUCGCUAGUAGUUGUGGUGUUGUUAUUAAACAAAGUUGUCCUAUGCAGUGGGAGUCUUGGGCAGAAAUUCCCGAGGAGACGAAGAAACUAGUGCGAGAAAACUUGUCGGUCAAUUUUGAUCUUGACGACAUAUCUCCUGAGGUCAUGGCCUACUUAGAGGAGACCUUAGCAAAUCGGUACAAACAUUGGAAGAACUAUCUUCACACGCAUUUUAAGCGAUGGGAUGAUCCGGAGUUUGCUCGCCUACAUGGUUGCCCAACCGAGUUGCAGGACCAGCCGGAGGAUUGGGAGUGGCUCUGCAAACAUUUUACGGACCCAAAAUUUGUA